rnacentral:rRNA from 1 species
UACGUAGGGUGCGAGCGUUAAUCGGAAUUACUGGGCGUAAAGCGUGCGCAGGCGGUUUUGUAAGCCAGAUGUGAAAUCCCCGGGCUUAACAUGGGAAUGGCAUUUGGGACUGCAAGGCUCGAGUGCGGCAGAGGAGACUGGAAUUCCUGGUGUAGCAGUGAAAUGCGUAGAUAUCAGGAGGAACACCGAUGGCGAAGGCAGGUCUCUGGGCUGACACUGACGCUCAUGCUCGAAAGCGUGGGGAGCAAACAGG